AUACUUACCUGGCAGGGGAAGAUACGAUGAUCGAAGGUGGUUUUCCCAGGGCGAGGCUUAUCCAUUGCACUCUGGAUGUGCUGACCCUGCGAUUUC
rnacentral:snRNA from 1 species